CUGGACGCUCACCGUUAUCUCCCUCAAGGGCGAGGGCAAGAUACGUUUUCCCAUCAUGGAGGGAAACUCUUCAGACAUUCAAAGCACGAGACCUGAGCUGAGUAUGACCGUUUCCCCUCCUGGAUUGAGCCAGGAGGAUCUAUUGCUCUGUAAAAGUUCCUCUCCUCUCCCUCUGUGGGGGAACCUUGUCUGCGUAGUGUCAGUGGAGGGACUGCACGGUGGGACACUUUAAAAGGUUUGCAGGCAUUGUGACCUAGUGGACCAGACCUGCCCAUCUGAGGAGGGUAAACCCACAAUGUAAUAGUGUAAAGUAUGUUCACCCUCUAACCCGUUGACAGCUGCUGAACAUUGACAUUUUAACAUGUAUAUUUGUGAAAUAAAGCUGCAUUCUAU